rnacentral:rRNA from 1 species
GACGAACGCUGGCGGCGUGCUUAACACAUGCAAGUCGAACGGAAAGGCCCUGCUUUUGUGGGGUGCUCGAGUGGCGAACGGGUGUGUAACACGUGAGUAACCUGCCCUUGACUUUGGGAUAACUUCAGGAAACUGGUGCUAAUACCGGAUAGGAGCUCCUGCUGCAUGGUGGGGGUUGGAAAGUUUCGGCGGUUGGGGAUGGACUCGCGGCUUAUCAGCUUGUUGGUGGGGUAGUGGCUUACCAAGGCUUUGACGGGUAGCCGGCAUGAGAGGGUGACCGGGCACAUUGGGACUGAGAGACGGACCAGACUCGUACGGGAGGCAGCAGUGGGGAAUAUUGCACAGUGGGCGGAAGCGUGAUGCAGCAACGCCGCGUGCGGGAUGACGGCCUUGGGGUUGUGAACCGCUGUAGCCUGUGACGAAGCGUGAGUGACGGUAAUGGGUAAAGAAGCACCGGCUAACUACGUG